AUGUAUAUGUGCUUAGAUCUGAAAGAAGAUGUGAAGAAGAAAAUUAUGAGUAAUGGAUCUCAUAUUUCUUCCAUUUUUGUUAUUUUCUUUUUUGUAAAGCAAUGUGUUGGUGAUUGUCAGAAAUUUAACAGUGGUCUCGUUGGUGAUUGUUUCGUGAAAGAGAGGAGGAAGAUGAUUGUUUUCUCUCCUUUCUGA